AUUGCACGCUGGCGGCAGGCCUAACCCAUGCAAGUCGAACAAGUGGCGUACGGGGGAGUAAUGUCUGGGACACUGCCCGAUGGACGGGGAUAACUAAUGGAACCGGUAUCUAAUACCGCAUACCAUCGGAUGUGCACAGAUGGGAUUAGCUAGUAGGUGGGGUAACGGGUCACCUAGGCGACGAUCCCUAGCUGGGCUGAGAGGAUGACCAUCCAAACUGGAACUGAGACACGGUCCAUGUUCCUACGGGAGCUAGCAGUGGGGCAGAUUGACAAAUGGGCGCAAGCCUGAUGCAGCCGUGCCACGUGUAUGAAGAGGGCCUUGGGGUUGUACAGGACUUUCAGCGAGGGGGCGUUACUCGCAGAAUGAGCACCUGCUGGCUACGUGCCAGCCGCCGCGGUAAUAC
rnacentral:rRNA from 1 species